rnacentral:rRNA from 1 species
CUACCUGAUGACCGAUAGUGAAGCAGUACCGUGAGGGAAAGGUGAAAAGAACCCCGGGAGGGGAGUGAAAUAGAACCUGAAACCGUGUGCCUACAACCGGUCAAAGCCCCUUAUGAGGGUGAUGACGUGCUUUUUGUAGAACGAGCCAACGAGUUACGGUAUGUAGCAAGGUUAAGUACUUAAGGUACGGAGCCGAAGGGAAACCGAGUCUUAAUAGGGCGACUAGUUGCAUGCCGUAGACCCGAAACCGGGUGACCUAUCCAUGGCCAGGUUGAAGCGGGGGUAAAACCCCGUGGAGGACCGAACCACGUUGCUGUUGAAAAAGCAUGGGAUGAGCUGUGGAUAGCGGAGAAAUUCCAAUCGAACUCGGAGAUAGCUGGUUCUCCUCGAAAUAGCUUUAGGGCUAGCGUCGGAUAUGAGUAGUGGAGGUAGAGCACUGAAUGGGCUAGGGGGCAUAGCGCUUACCGAACCUUAUCAAACUCCGAAUGCCACAUACUAUUAGUCCGGCAGUCAGACUGCGAAAGAUAAGUUCCGUAGUCAAAAGGGAAACAGCCCAGAUCGUCAGCUAAGGUCCCAAAGUGUAAGUUAAGUGGAAAAGGAUGUGGGAUUUCUAAGACAACUAGGAUGUUGGCUUAGAAGCAGCCACUCAUUAAAAGAGUGCGUAAUAGCUCACUAGUCGAGAGAUCCUGCGCCGAAGAUGUCCGGGGCUCAAACUUACCACCGAAGCUACGGGUUCACACUUAUGUGUGAGCGGUAGAGGAGCGUCGUAAUCGGGCUGAAGUCGUACCGUAAGGAGCGGUGGACUGAUUACGAGUGAGAAUGUUGGCAUUAGUAGCGAGAUGUGGGUGAGAAUCCCACAGGCCGAAUAUCUAAGGUUUCCUCAGGAAGGUUCGUCCGCUGAGGGUUAGUCGGGACCUAAGCCGAGGCCGAAAGGCGUAGGCGAUGGACAAUCGGUUGAUAUUCCGAUACCACUACUGAUCGUUAUUAUCGAUGGUGUGACGGAGAAGGAUAGAGUGUGCUAGCUAUUGGAUGCUAGUCUAAGCGUUUAGGGAGUUAGGAAAGGCAAAUCCGUCCUAACAAUUCUGAGGCGUGAUGGGGAAGGUUCUACGGAACCGAAGUACUUGAUUCCAUGCUUCCAAGAAAAGCAUCUAGAGAGAGAUGUAGUGCCCGUACCGCAAACCGACACAGGUAGAUGAGGAGAGAAUCCUAAGGCCGGCGGAAGAAUCACAGUUAAGGAACUAGGCAAAUUGACCCCGUAACUUAGGGAGAAGGGGUGCCUGUGAGAGCAGGCCGCAGAGAAUAGGCCCAAGCAACUGUUUAGCAAAAACACAGGUCUCUGCUAAAGCGAAAGCUGAUGUAUAGGGGCUGACGCCUGCCCGGUGCUGGAAGGUUAAGGGGAACACUUAGCGCAAGCGAAGGUGUGAACUUAAGCCCCAGUAAACGGCGG